rnacentral:lncRNA from 1 species
UUGUAUAUCGGGUGAAGCACGCUCAAUUGCCUGUUCGUUGCAAUGAUAAAUGGCUCUAUCACUGCAUGGGUGUUCAGCCUGCAUUCAAAAUUAAUGUAGUUAUUUACAUUUGUAUAGAACUUCCUACCAUUACUAUUAGUUCAACUUCUUUCUUUUGCAAGUGUACCAAUGGCUGAUCAUUUGAUGAUAUCCCGAAUCAUUUAUAGCAGCAUAAGCUUUGGCCAGCUGCCAAAUUGAACCUUCGAUUCCAUGCUCUGCAGGAGUAAAUACUCGACUAAUGGCACCCUGUUCUUUAUUCUCGAAAUUUGGUAAGCUCAAUUCAAUUGCCAACGGCUUCAAUGUCCCAUCAUCUUGUAGUAAAAGGAGAGUUCGAGUAGCAUAUGUCCUUGUGUUUGUGUCCUUGUUUAUCCGUUCAAGGUACGGCAUAAGUGCAUCAUGAUGAUCUAGUAUGAACAUCUUAUUCUGCUCAAUUGCCUUUUCUUGCAUAAAACAAGUAAUGAGAUCAAUAACUUAUCGUGAAUCUUAAUCUGUGUAAAACAGGUAAAAUAGAUAGAUACCUCAUAUAUUCUUAUCCCAUUCAUGUUUUUCUCGAUGUGCUCCCUUGUGAUUGAACUGUUUUGGUUGCCAUAUAUUUCAGGGUCUAGCUUACUAGUUGGGGGAAACUCCUGUUACAAAAUUAAUGAACAUUUUAUAUCAGAAAACAGAAAUAUUUUAUAGAAAACUUAGGAAUACAGUUCUUUCACCUCUAGGCGUCGAAUAACAACAGGAUUCACUCCAGCUAGCAUUUCUCGUCCGAACUCUAUGUCUGUUCUCCACGCAGUCUUAUCCUCUGAAAACGUCCCAGUAAAAGGCCUCGUAAUUAUUGUGAUCGACUUAAUAAAAGCAUCAUUUAAUUGUAAAAUUUGUAAUCUAUGCAAAAUCAUUUUAUUACCUCUGAUAACAUCAGGCAUUGGGAAUUUCAGGAAUUUCUCACCAUCUGAACGAAGAAGUUCAUGGAGCAAUUCCCAAGAGACGCAUUGCUUAAGUUUCGUAAGAUUGUGGCCAUCAGGUAGCUUAACCCCACCAUCAUACAGGUCAAGUACAUCUUGGAAUGUAUCGAACUCUUUAAAUGUUUUGUCAGUUAUGGAUUUUAUCUCUGGAAGCAAUACCUGACCCAGGGAUUUAAGAGCAUAAGCAAUGAAAUCUGAGAACUUCACUUGGUUGAAACGCUCAUCUCGUGGAACAUAAAUGUUUAAACUUAAGAGAGGCAAUCGACUUUCUGACAUAGGAUCUGUAAAUUCAAUUGCAGAAAUAGUUUUAAGGAAGUGCUUAAUAUGAUACCUCAAUAUUUAUUGAUUUUGAACAUAGAAGUUUGUUUCUCUUGACCUUUUUUAUUUGGUCGACGACCUGUUCUUCCUCUACGUGGGUACGGAUAUUCCUUUGAUCCACCAAGCACGGGGCGUGCAUAGUCUGAUCCCUCUUCAGGACUUCCCAAGUCAUUGUAGAAUGCAUAGUCAUAGACUCUGUCCCAUUCUUUUAGCAUGCCCGACCCAUCGCCACGAAGAUUGAUGAGCUCUUCUUCCCUAUAUAGGCGUAGUGGUUCGGGCGUAUCACCUGGCAGGUAUGUCUGAUUAUACAAUAACAAGAUUAUCGGAAUUCAGUGACUGAUAUUUGUUUUAGUCAAUCUUAGAAUGAACUAAAUUUUCUAAUUACUUGUUUGGAGAUUACUCUACAAGAUAAAAUAAUUAUGUAACUACUGAGCUUUGUUAAUUGUUCUAUGAGUAGUUAACAUAGUAAUCAGAAAGAAAAUAAAAUGUCUGGAAAAAGUUCAACAUUGUAGUAAAGAAUAAUAGGAUAAGAUUUUGACACAGCACAUACAAAUCUGAUAAAUUUACUUUCAGUUAUUGAGAAUUUAAUGAUAUGAUCGGACAAGUGCUUUCUGCAGUCAUGAUCCAAAUCAUUUCUUGAAUGAUCGAAAGAAAUCAUAUCGUUUGGUUUUUCUUCAACUUUCAUAAAUUACCACUGAGUUUUUAUUUUUAUUUUUAUUUAAUUUUUCAGGCUAUAUAUGCUUGGCGUUGGCGUACCUUGUUUACGAAGAAGACACGAUCGUACUUAUAACGAUGUGCAGGAUAAACCCAAGAAUUGCAGACAAAAUGGAGUUGGCCGUGUC